AACGAACGCUGGCGGCAUGCCUAACACAUGCAAGUCGAACGAGACCUUCGGGUUUAGUGGCGCACUGGUGCGUAACGCGUGGGAACCUGCCCUUAGGUUCGGAAUAACUCCCCGAAUGGCGUGCUAAUACCGGAUCAUGUCUUCCGACCAAAGAUUUAUCGCCUUUGGAUGGGCCCGCGUCGGAUUAGCUAGUUGGUAGGGUAAAAGCCUACCAAGGCGACGAUCCAUAGCUGGUCAGAGAGGAUGAUCAGCCACACUGGGACUGAGACACGGCCCAGACUCCUACGGGAGGCAGCAGUGGGGAAUAUUGGAAAAUGGGCGAAAGCCUGAUCCAGCAAUGACGCGUGAGUGAUGAAGGCCUUAGGGUUGUAAAGCUCUUUUACCCGGGAUGAUAAUGACAGUACCGGGAGAAUAAGCACCGGCUAACUCCGUG
rnacentral:rRNA from 1 species